CAGUCGCCGCGGUAAUACGUAGGUGGCAAGCGUUGUCCGGAAUUAUUGGGCGUAAAGGGCUCGCAGGCGGUUUCUUAAGUCUGAUGUGAAAGCCCCCGGCUCAACCGGGGAGGGUCAUUGGAAACUGGGAAACUUGAGUGCAGAAGAGGGGAGUGGAAUUCCACGUGUAGCGGUGAAAUGCGUAGAGAUGUGGAGGAACACCAGUGGCGAAGGCGACUCUCUGGUCUGUAACUGACGCUGAGGAGCGAAAGCGUGGGGAGCGAACAGGAUUAGAUACCCCUGUAGUCCCUGUCUCUUAUAU
rnacentral:rRNA from 1 species